GACGGGGGGGGCAAGUGUUCUUCGGAAUGACUGGGCGUAAAGGGCACGUAGGCGGUGAAUCGGGUUGAAAGUGAAAGUCGCCAAAAAGUGGCGGAAUGCUCUCGAAACCAAUUCACUUGAGUGAGACAGAGGAGAGUGGAAUUUCGUGUGUAGGGGUGAAAUCCGUAAUAUACGAAGGAACGCCAAAAGCGAAGGACAGCUCUCGUCGG
rnacentral:rRNA from 1 species